AUGAAGAAGAUCGUGUUGAUGGUCGAGAUGAAGGACGACCGACAGAAGCAGAAGGCGAUAAAAGCAGUCUCCGUUCUCUAUGGUACUAUUACUACUUCUCUUCUUUCCAGUUUUGUUCCUGAAUUCGUUUCUGACGUGAACAACAACGGGCCUCAGGGAGUACAGGACAAUGGUGAAUGCAUUGCUGUGAAGAAGCUUCAUCCCAUGCCGGUUCUUGAUGACGAGGAAUUCAAAAGCGAGUUUAGUAAUCUUUUGAGGGUCAAACAUCAAAAUACCAUACCGUUGGUUGGUUACUGCCAUCAUACAGCACAGGGUAUCUGCGAGGGUUUACAUUACCUUCACAAAGGAUUCGAGUAUCCUAUUUACCAUCUGGAAUUAAAACCUACAAAGAUUUUGCUGGAUAACGAAAUGAUGCCCAAAAUUGGAGGUUUUGGUUUCUCUGGAUUCUUGGAUACAACGGAAACCUUCAACACAUCAGAAGUUAUGCGAACAAGUUUAUACAUGCCACCAGAAUACAUCAGUAAACGGCAAAUCACACCAAAGUUUGAUGUAUUCAGUCUGGGCGUUAUAAUCUUGCAAAUAAUGGCAGGGAAGGAAAGCUAUCCGAAAUGUGCAGAUAUUCCUCCUGAAGAGUUUAUUGAGCCUGUCUAUGAAUUCUGGGUAGAUAGGAUGCAAGGCACAAUAUCCAAGCAUACUUCACACGAAGUUAGAACAUGCAUCGAAAUAGCUCUAAGCUGUGUGGAGUUCAAUCGAGUGAAGAGGCCUACUAUAAAUGAGAUCAUACAAAGACUGAAUAAGAUUGAUAUUGUUGAGUGCUCAUCUAUAGGUGAGCUAUACAAGACAGAGGAGUUUGCAUUUGAUUUCUUAAAACAUAUUACAAAUGGUUUUUCCAAGAAGAAUAUAAUUGGUCAUGGUGGAUAUGGAAUUGUUUACAAGGGAUUGUUGGACAAUGGAGAAGAGAUUGCUGUUAAGAAACUUCAUCAAAUGUUAUGGAUUGAAGAUGAGCAAUUUAAGAAUGAGGUUAAUAAUCUAAUGAGGGUGCAACACAAAAAUAUUGUACGGUUAGUUGGCUACUGCCACCAUACAUCACAAAUAUUUGUUGAGCACGAAGGAAAACAUGUUUCUGCUAGUGUAGUAGAAAGAGCGAUUUGUUUUGAACACAAGCAGGGUGGAAGCCUUGACAAUCAACUUUCUGGAAUUUGUGAGGGUCUACAUUACCUUCAUAGUGCUGAUAAUCCAAUUUACCAUUUGGACAUAAAACCUGCUAAUAUUUUGUUGGAUAAGGACAUGGAGGCAAAAAUUGGUGAUUUUGGUUUGUCAAGACUUUUUGAUUCAACACAAACCUAUAUGACAGAAUCCAGAGAUAUUAAAGGAACACGUGGAUACAUGCCACCGGAAUACAUCGACAAACAAAAAAUCAGUCCGAAGUUUGACAUAUAUAGUCUCGGGGUCAUAAUCAUUCAAAUAAUGGCAGGAAAGGAGGGCUACUUCAAUUGCCCACACACCCCUCCAAGAGAAUUUAUUAAACAUGUACGUGAAAAAUGGAGAGUGAGGCUUCAGGCAACAAUGUCGUCCCAUGUAACUGAAGAAGUGAGGACAUGCAUCGAAAUAGCGUUAAAAUGUGUGGAGGACGACCGAAAGCGAAGACCUGCAAUAGCGACAAUUGUUAAUGAACUAAGUAACAUUGGUAUUGCUAGAAGUUCACCAGUAGGUCAGGAAUUUUAA
rnacentral:rRNA from 1 species